AACGAACGCUGGCGGCAUGCCUAACACAUGCAAGUCGAACGAGACCUUCGGGUCUAGUGGCGCACGGGUGCGUAACGCGUGGGAAUCUGCCCUUGGGUUCGGAAUAACAGUUGGAAACGACUGCUAAUACCGGAUGAUGACGUAAGUCCAAAGAUUUAUCGCCCAAGGAUGAGCCCGCGUAGGAUUAGCUAGUUGGUGAGGUAAAGGCUCACCAAGGCGACGAUCCUUAGCUGGUCUGAGAGGAUGAUCAGCCACACUGGGACUGAGACACGGCCCAGACUCCUACGGGAGGCAGCAGUGGGGAAUAUUGGACAAUGGGCGAAAGCCUGAUCCAGCAAUGCCGCGUGAGUGAUGAAGGCCUUAGGGUUGUAAAGCGUCUUUUACCCGGGAUGAUAAUGACAGUACCGGAGAAUAAGCUCCGGCUAACUCCGUGCCAGCAGCCGACGGUAAGUGACUACUG
rnacentral:rRNA from 1 species